GACGAACGCUGGCGGCGUGCUUAACACAUGCAAGUCGAGCGGUAAGGCUCCUUCGGGGGUACACGAGCGGCGAACGGGUGAGUAACACGUGAGUAAUCUGCCCUUCACUCUGGGAUAAGCACUCGAAAGGGUGUCUAAUACCGGAUACGACAUAGACCUGCAUGGGUUCUGUGUGGAAACUUUUAUGGGUGGGGGAUGUGCUCGCGGCCUAUCAGCUUGUUGGUGGGGUAAUGGCCUACCAAGGCUUCGACGGGUAGCCGGCCUGAGAGGGCGACCGGCCACACUGGGACUGAGACACGGCCCAGACUCCUACGGGAGGCAGCAGUGGGGAAUAUUGGACAAUGGGCGGAAGCCUGAUCCAGCAACGCCGCGUGGGGGAUGACGGCCUUCGGGUUGUAAACCUCUUUCAGCUCCGACGAAGCUGCUUCUUUUUGGGGUGGUGACGGUAGGUGCAGAAGAAGGACCGGCC
rnacentral:rRNA from 1 species